rnacentral:tRNA from 1 species
GGCCUCAUCGUCUAACGGUUAGGACAUAGCGUUCUCAACGCUAGAAUCAGGGUUCGAUUCCCUGUGAGGUCA